rnacentral:snoRNA from 1 species
CCCCAAUGCUCUUGUCAGGAUACUUCUUGCUUUAUUGCUUUCCCUGGAAGAUAUCUGUUACAGCGUUGGAAAAUCAAACUUCAAACUUGCUGUUCUCCGGUUUUCGGACUUGAGAGCUGUUCUCCGGUUUUCGGACUUGAGAGCUGAUUGAGUUCCGUUUUGGGACUCUCUCAUAAGUUUCGCCGUGUUUCACUUGAGUUGAAGUCUACCUCUACCAUUAUCAGGUAGCUCGUGGUAGACUUCUUAGUUACGAUUCAUACAUUU